rnacentral:rRNA from 1 species
AUACGUAGGUGGCAAGCGUUGUCCGGAUUUAUUGGGCGUAAAGCGAGUGCAGGCGGUCUUCUAAGUCUGAUGUGAAAGCCUUCGGCUUAACCGGAGAAGUGCAUCGGAAACUGGGAGACUUGAGUGCAGAAGAGGACAGUGGAACUCCAUGUGUAGCGGUGGAAUGCGUAGAUAUAUGGAAGAACACCAGUGGCGAAGGCGGCUGUCUAGUCUGUAACUGACGCUGAGGCUCGAAAGCGUGGGUAGC